rnacentral:rRNA from 1 species
CGAAGCUACGGGCUUGCGAAAGCAAGCGGUAGGGGAGCGUCGUAAUCGGGCUGAAGUCGUACCGUAAGGAGCGGUGGACUGAUUACGAGUGAGAAUGUUGGCAUUAGUAGCGAGAUGUAGGUGAGAAUCCUACAGGCCGAAUAUCUAAGGUUUCCUCAGGAAGGCUCGUCCGCUGAGGGUUAGUCGGGACCUAAGCCGAGGCCGAAAGGCGUAGGCGAUGGACAAUCGGUUGAUAUUCCGAUACCACUACCAUCGUUAAUAUCGAGGGUGUGACGGAGAAGGAUAGUGUGUGCUAGCGAUUGGAAAUGCUAGUCUAAGCGUUUAGGGAGUUACGGUAGGCAAAUCCGCUGUAACAAUUCUGAGGCGUGAUGGGGAAGGCCAUAUAGGCCGAAGUACAUGAUUCCAUGCUUCCAAGAAAAGCAUCUAGAGAGAGAAGUAGUGCCCGUACCGCAAACCGACACAGGUAGAUGAGGAGAGAAUCCUAAGGCCGGCGGAAGAAUUGCAGUUAAGGAACUAGGCAAAUUGACCCCGUAAGUUCGCGAGAAGGGGUGCCUGCGAGAGCAGGCCGCAGAGAAUAGGCCCAAGCAACUGUUUAGCAAAAACACAGGUCUCUGCUAAAGCGUAAGCUGAUGUAUAGGGGCUGACGCCUGCCCGGUGCUGGAAGGUUAAGGGGAACACUUAGCGCAAGCGAAGGUGUGAACUUAAGCCCCAGUAAACGGCGGCCGUAACUAUAACGGUCCUAAGGUAGCGAAAUUCCUUGUCAGGUAAGUUCUGACCCGCACGAAUGGCGUAAUGACUUGGGCACUGUCUCAACUGCAAAUCCGGCGAAGUUGUAGUGCGAGUGAAGAUGCUCGCUACCCGCGAUUGGACGGAAAGACCCCGUAGAGCUUUACUGCAGCUUAGCAUUGAAUUCCGGUAUUGUCUGUACAGGAUAGGUGGGAGACUGGGAAACUAGGGCGUCAGCCUUAGUGGAGUCAACCUUGGGAUACCACCCUGACAGUACUGGGGUUCUAACAGGACGCCAUGAAACUGGUGACUGGACAUUGUUAGGUGGGCAGUUUGACUGGGGCGGUCGCCUCCUAAAAAGUAACGGAGGCGCCCAAAGGUUCCCUCAGAACGGUCGGAAAUCGUUCGUAGAGUGCAAAGGCAGAAGGGAGCCUGACUGCGAGACAUACAAGUCGAGCAGGGACGAAAGUCGGGCUUAGUGAUCCGGUGGUACCUCGUGGGAGGGCCAUCGCUCAACGGAUAAAAGCUACCUCGGGGAUAACAGGCUGAUCUCCCCCAAGAGUCCACAUCGACGGGGAGGUUUGGCAC